rnacentral:sRNA from 1 species
AAUGAGCGUUAAGGAUGGAAGCGGCAUACUUUACUUUUUUUCUUUAAAAAAGCAAAGAUAUAGUGUACAGCCUGACCUGAC